rnacentral:rRNA from 1 species
GAUGAACGCUGGCUACAGGCUUAACACAUGCAAGUCGAGGGGAAACGAUAGAGAAAGCUUGCUUUUUCUAGGCGUCGACCGGCGCACGGGUGAGUAACGCGUAUCCAACCUGCCCAUCACUUGGGGAUAACCUUGCGAAAGUAAGACUAAUACCCAAUGACGUCUCUAGAAGACAUCUGAAAGGGAUUAAAGAUUUAUCGGUGAUGGAUGGGGAUGCGUCUGAUUAGCUUGUUGGCGGGGUAACGGCCCACCAAGGCGACGAUCAGUAGGGGUUCUGAGAGGAAGGUCCCCCACAUUGGAACUGAGACACGGUCCAAACUCCUACGGGAGGCAGCAGAGAGGAAUAUUGGUCAAUGGACGAGAGUCUGAACCAGCCAAGUAGCGUGCAGGAUGACGGCCCUAUGGGUUGUAAACUGCUUUUAUAAGGGAAUAAAGUGAGAGUCGUGACUCUUUUUGCAUGUACCUUAUGAAUAAGGACCGGCUAAUUCCGUGCCAGCCGCCGCGGUAA